rnacentral:snRNA from 1 species
GUGCUCACUUUGGCAUCACAUAUACUAAAAUGGAAAAAAUGCAGAGAAUAUCAACAUGGUCCCUAUGUAAUUAUGACAUGGAAAUUUGUGAAGUGUUCCAUGUACAU